rnacentral:rRNA from 1 species
UACGGAGGGUGCUAGCGUUGUUCGGAAUUACUGGGCGUAAAGGGCGCGUAGGCGGCCGUUUGCGUCGGAUGUGAAAGCCCGGGGCUCAACCUCGGAACGGCAUUCGAUACGGGACGGCUGGAGACCGGGAGAGGAGAGUGGAAUAGCCAGCGUAGAGGUGAAAUUCGUAGAUAUUGGCUGGAACACCGGUGGCGAAAGCGGCUCUCUGGCCCGGUUCUGACGCUGAGGCGCGAAAGCGUGGGGAGCAAACAGG